UACAGAGGUCUCAAGCGUUGUUCGGAUUCAUUGGGCGUAAAGGGUGCGUAGGCGGCGCGGUAAGUCGGGUGUGAAAUCUCGGAGCUUAACUCCGAAACUGCAUUCGAUACUGCCGUGCUUGAGGACUGGAGAGGAGACUGGAAUUUACGGUGUAGCGGUGAAAUGCGUAGAUAUCGUAAGGAAGACCGGUGGCGAAGGCUAGUCUCUGGACAGUUACUGACACUGAGGCACGAAGGCCAGGGGAGCAAACGGG
rnacentral:rRNA from 1 species